UGUUCUUUCCUUUCUCUCACUCUUAUUUUAUAUGUAUGCUCUUUCAUUGAGGACAAUGUAUGUUUUAAGUGUGGGGGAGGGAACCAUUUAUUUAUUUUGUUUUCUUUGUUUUUUCUCUGUUUUGGUUUUUGUUUGCUUUCUUAAAAAAAAACUACAUGUUUUUUUUCUUUGGUUUUUGAGUUACAAUUAUGAUUAUUUUUCUUAGUUCUCUUGACUAAAGUCUUGUGGUGUGAUGUGAAAAAUGUUUUGUGCAUUUUUAGUAUGAUAGGUAUGACUAAACUCUAAAUUGUAUAUCUUUAGCAGUAGAUCAUUAGCCCUGGUGAGCUUUGAGCCUUAUAUGGAUAACAUACAAAAAUUCAUCUCUUUCUUUCUUGUGUGGUUC
rnacentral:lncRNA from 1 species